rnacentral:rRNA from 1 species
UGGGGAAUAUUGCACAAUGGGCGAAAGCCUGAUGCAGCAACGCCGCGUGAGUGAUGAAGGCCUUCGGGUUGUAAAGCUCUGUCUUUUGGGACGAUAAUGACGGUACCAAAGGAGGAAGCCACGGCUAACUACGUGCCAGCAGCCGCGGUAAUACGUAGGUGGCAAGCGUUGUCCGGAUUUACUGGGCGUAAAGGAUGCGUAGGCGGAUUUUUAAGUGAGAUGUGAAAACCCUAAGCUUAACUUGGGGACUGCAUUUCAUACUGGAAAUCUAGAGUGCGGGAGAGGAGAAUGAAAUUCCUAGUGUAGCGGUGAAAUGCGUAGAGAUUAGGAAGAACACCAGUGGCGAAGGCGAUUCUCUGGACCGUAACUGACGCUGAGGCAUGAAAGCGUGGGUAGCAAACAGGAUUAGAUACCCUGGUAGUCCACGCCGUAAACGAUGAGUACUAGGUGUAGGAGGUAUCGACCCCUUCUGUGCCGCAGUUAACACAAUAAGUACUCCGCCUGGGAAGUACGAUCGCAAGAUUAAAAACUCAAAUG